UUACCGCAUUCGCCGUCGGACUGUCUGUGAUUUGCCAGAGCGUUUUUUAUCGUUUUCGAUCAACGUUUUUUAAAAGAGAAUACCGCAGCAGACGAGUUUUGGCCAUCGGCUUAACCGCAAAUGAAGACAUUGGAUUGGAAAAAUGUCAAACGUUCAAAUUCACAUCUGGUGUGGCCCUAUCACAACAACAACAACAACAACUGAAUGUUUCACUUUAAAACGUAUAGACCUUCUAAACUAAGAGCGAUAAGAGACGUUCCUGUACAAAAAAUGUUUGCCUAGAAGAGUCCUGUUUGGUCCUGUUCUGAUCAAAUAAUAAAUAUCAAUCGGUCUGAUGGACCAUCAAAUCUUGGAAGAAAACAAUGACUUCAUUCGUCCCGUUUGGUUUUAUGAUGCCGUCGUUUGCAAGCUAACACAGCUGUACCUAUCCUGACAGGUCUUUACGGAGACAAAAACAAGAUUCGUUUAAUAUGCGUUGGCAACGUUCCUAAUCGAAUCCAGAACAUACCGUCCGACCGUUUGACAGAAUAGGAGAGUACAG